GGGGAUUUGGCUCAGUUGGUAGAGCGCUUGCCUAGCAAGCACAAGGCCCUGGGUUCGGUCCCCAGCUCCG
rnacentral:tRNA from 1 species